CCUACGGGAGACAGCAGUGGGGAAUAUUGCACAAUGGGGGAAACCCUGAUGCAGCGACGCCGCGUGAGUGAAGAAGUAUUUCGGUAUGUAAAGCUCUAUCAGCAGGGAAGAAAAUGACGGUACCUGAUUAAGAAGCCCCGACUAACUACGUGCCAGCAGCCGCGGGAAUACGUAGGGGGCAAGCGUUAUCCGGAUUUACUGGGUGUAAAGGGAGCGUAGACGGCAGCACAAGUCUGGAGUGAAAUGCCGGGGCUUAACCCCGGAACUGCUUUGGAAACUGUGCAGCUAGAGUGCAGGAGAGGUAAGUGGAAUUCCUAGUGUAGCGGUGAAAUGCGUAGAUAUUAGGAGGAACACCAGUGGCGAAGGCGGCUUACUGGACUGUAACUGACGUUGAGGCUCGAAAGCGUGGGGAGCAAACAGGAUUAGAUACCCUAGUAGUC
rnacentral:rRNA from 1 species